GAUGGGUUUCUACUGUCUUGGGCUUGGACUGUAAAUGCUUGCUUCUUAACAGGUUCAAAUUUUGGAUUUGGGUUUUACCUGUUACCCAUAUACUUGUGGAUUCUAGAUAUUUGGGUUAUGUCAGCCGAACUCUCUGGAGUCCCCUGAUCCUGUCUUGUCUAACUUCCUCUCUUCUCUUCCAGAUUGCAACCCUAGCCACCAUCUAGGGUUUCAUUUCCUUCGUUGGUCUU
rnacentral:lncRNA from 1 species